rnacentral:rRNA from 1 species
CCUACGGGUGGCAGCAGUGGGGGAUAUUGCACAAUGGGGGAAACCCUGAUGCAGCGACGCCGCGUGGGCGAAGAAGUACUUCGGUGUGUAAAGCCCUAUCAGCAGGGAAGAAGAAAUGACGGUACCUGAGUAAGCAGCACCGGCUAAAUACGUGCCAGCAGCCGCGGUAAUACGUAUGGUGCAAGCGUUAUCCGGAUUUACUGGGUGUAAAGGGAGCGCAGGCGGCACGACAAGCCUGAUGUGUAAGCCCGGGGCCCAACCGCGGGAUUGCAUUGGGAACUACCGGGCUGGAGUGACGGAGAGGUAGGCGGAAUUCCUAGUGGAGCGGUGAAAUGCGUAGAUAUUAGGAGGAACACCAGUGGCGAAGGCGGCCUACUGGACGGUGACUGACGCUGAGGGUCGAAAGCGUGGGGAGCAAACAGGAUUAGAUACCCUAGUAGUC